rnacentral:rRNA from 1 species
UACAGAGGGUGCGAGCGUUGUUCGGAAUCACUGGGCGUAAAGCGCACGUAGGCGGCUAUUUAAGUCAGGGGUGAAAUCCUGGAGCUCAACUCCAGAACUGCCUUUGAUACUGAGAAGCUUGAGUCCGGGAGAGGUGAGUGGAACUGCGAGUGUAGAGGUGAAAUUCGUAGAUAUUCGCAAGAACACCAGUGGCGAAGGCGGCUCACUGGCCCGGUACUGACGCUGAGGUGCGAAAGCGUGGGGAGCAAACAGG